UACGUAGGUGACCAGCGUUGUCCGGAUUUACUGGGCGUAAAGAGCGCGCAGGCGGUCGUUCAAGUCGAGUGUGAAAGCCCCCGGCUCAACUGGGGAGGGUCAUUCGAUACUGAUCGACUUGAAGGCAGGAGAGGGAAGCGGAAUUCCCGGUGUAGUGGUGAAAUGCGUAGAUAUCGGGAGGAACACCAGUGGCGAAGGCGGCUUCCUGGCCUGUUCUUGACGCUGAGGCGCGAAAAGCUAGGGGAGCAAACGGGG
rnacentral:rRNA from 1 species